rnacentral:rRNA from 1 species
UACAGAGGUCUCAAGCGUUGUUCGGAUUCAUUGGGCGUAAAGGGUGCGUAGGCGGCGCGGUAAGUCGGGUGUGAAAUCUCGGAGCUUAACUCCGAAACUGCAUUCGAUACUGCCGUGCUUGAGGACUGGAGAGGAGACUGGAAUUCCUGGUGUAGCGGUGAAAUGCGGCAGAUAUCAGGAGGAACACCGGUGGCGAAGGCGGGUCUCUGGGCCGAUACUGACGCUGGAGGAG